GUCUCCGUAGCUUAGUCGGUAGAACUCCCGACAUGCGAUAGAACAUCCGACUAUGCGAUAGAACUCCCGAAUUGUGCGGUAGAACUGGGUUCGAGCCCCGCUGAAGGCA